UGAGUAACGCGUGAGGAACCUGCCUCAAANAGGGGGACAACAGUUGGAAACGACUGCUAAUACCGCAUAAGCCCACGGGUCGGCAUCGACCAGAGGGAAAAGGAGCAAUCCGCUUUGAGAUGGCCUCGCGUCCGAUUAGCUAGUUGGUGAGGUAAUGGCCCACCAAGGCAACGAUCGGUAGCCGGACUGAGAGGUUGAACGGCCACAUUGGGACUGAGACACGGCCCAGACUCCUACGGGAGGCAGCAUG
rnacentral:rRNA from 1 species